AGCAGUGGUUACACCAGUGCCAAAUAUAGAGGAACAUUGGAAUUAUUGGAUUCCUUACAAGCAGCUGUAAAAAGGUACUCAAGCACAUCUAAUACAGCUAUUGAAAAACUGAAAACCACCCUGGAAACAAACAAAAAGAAUGAGCAGAGAAAGAUUUUGUGCAGCUCAGCAGCACCACCUACUGUGAUGAGCUUUCUAUGUUCUUAUCAUUCAAAAGCGUAUUGCAAUGCUCCUUUGACAAUGAAAAGCUAAGAGAGGAGGGUUUGGAUGGAAAAUAAUAAACAUCUCUGUCACUUUAUAGAGUGCAAAUGAUUCAAUUAUAUGGCUUCUUGUUUUCAGUCAGAUUCAUGGUGAGAAAUGCAAAGAACCACUGGCUGGCUGGAGGAGUGCCUGGAACAUCUGAGUGAGAGGUUAGGUGAUGGCCUGAAUGAGGGGGUGACCAGGGAUUAGGAUGGUGGGCUUGGUAAGGGGGUGCCUGGGGCAGCUGGGCUGUAGGAAGUGCAUGAGGGGGA